rfam:Triticum aestivum genome assembly, contig: Triticum_aestivum_CS42_TGACv1_scaffold_133947_2BL
AAGGUACUCCCUCCGUUCGGAAUUACUUGUCUUGGAAAUGAUGUAUCUAGAACUAAAAUAUAUCUAGAUACAUCCAUUUCCGCGACAAGUAAUUCCGAAUGGAGGGAGUAGAAU